rnacentral:rRNA from 1 species
UACGGGGGGGGCAAGCGUUGUUCGGAAUUACUGGGCGUAAAGGGCUCGUAGGCGGCCAACUAAGUCAGACGUGAAAUCCCUCGGCUUAACCGGGGAACUGCGUCUGAUACUGGAUGGCUUGAGUGUGGGAGAGGGAUGCGGAAUUCCAGGUGUAGCGGUGAAAUGCGUAGAUAUCUGGAGGAACACCGAUGGCGAAGGCGGCGACCUGGGUAGAUACUGACGCUGAGGUGCGAAAGCGUGGGGAGCAAACAGG